ensembl:lincRNA
CCGUUGUAUUUCUUCAAACAGUGCCAAUAUUAUGGCACGUGCCAAUGGGUGUGUUGGGUGAGGAAGGCAGUUUCCGUUGGUGUACAUCACAAAAGAAGCCUCCUUGUGUUUCCUAUUGCUCAGGGAGGAAGUUGUAAAUCAGAGAUAGUCCAAGGAGAAUAAAGAGAGAGCCAAGGGGUGGUUUGGGAGAGUUAUGCAGACCCUGAUAACAGUCUUUGCUUUGGCUGCCAAGUUUCAUCGUCGAUGAGACCUGGUGUCCUGAACUCAGUAUUCUGUGGCCUGAGAUAUCCAUAUAACAGUUGCUCGCUAAGGUCUCUUUUUACACCGUUGGCAACAACCCUCAGGCGAGUCUUCCACGCCCAGAAUCAUCGCACUGACUCAGGUCAGCUGGGUGUUGCGAGUUGACCGUGAGCUCGUCCAGCCCAGCUGGGAGGAAGCUCGGCGCUCAGGAGUCGGCGAUGCAUCUGCUCUGCCACGAGGCCGGGCAGAGGCCGGGCAGUUCCUCGGGGGCCGCGGUCUCCAGAAAAAACAGCACCAGAAUGUACGACGGGCACGACAAGUAACAAGCCGAGAUGCCGUCUCAGUGAUAGCUGACAGUGGUUUGAUGUGUGUGAUAUGUAACGACCUUCGCACAUGGAGAACGAGGCAGAGGGUGAUUCCCCAGGUUUUGCAGAGUCAGACUUCUCAUAUAAUCCGUGAAGUCCAAAUUCUACUGUCACCUCAGCCAGAAGAAGCACCAGCCCCAGAGCUGGUCAGAGGCACCCACACCCUCUGCUCCUCUUCGCAGCCCUCAGGUUUGUUUACUGUGAACCCUGGAAGAGACAGUGUGUGGGAAGGAAAGGAAACCGUCACCCUUAGCCAUCUCAGAUAACGGAACAGAGAGGGCGAGGCCCUCUGUUCUCUGGAUCGCCUCAAAGGGUGGCCUCAGAUCCAAACUGGAAAAGCUGCUUUGACUCAGCCCCUCUUCUCCUGUUGAGCUCAGUGAGGCAAUGCCACUUAAAACUAAUUUUUUUCCUGUCUCUGCCUGUGAAAGCACAUCUGCAGAAUUAAAUUCCAUACACCUACAAGGAUGCUUUCAAAGGCUCGGAAUCAAUUCUUCAAUCAUUCACUUUCUUAGCUGUGAUUAAAAACAUGUGUCCCCUAAUUAAGCUAAUGAGAAACUGUUAAUUGGCACACAGCCUCCCCCCCCACCACACUUGUUAAUGUCACUGUCACUUUGACAGGAGAAAGGAUCAAAAUCAAGGGCAGAGAGUUUUUAAGUGACUUCAGUAUUGAACUCAAGGACCGGGGUGUUAUUUGUGAAAAGAGGGCUGUCAGUUCCAGGGCCUGGUGUGGAAAAAUAAGGAAUAUUUUCUCUGCUAAUUUCAUAAGAAAGCAGGAGGAAGAGAUGCGAUAGGGCAAAGGUUGAUUUAUUUUUCUCUUCCUCAAGAAAUAAUGGCAUCUGGCCAUCUCGUGUGCCUCCAAUAUAAUGACGCCUCGGCAUGGUAGGGCUCAGCAAAGUGGAAGUACACGGCUGCUGUGGAAACAGCAGGGAGGGUUUCCCAAGGGCCCCUCUCUCGGUAUCCUCUCGGUCUCCAGUAAGCGAUAUCCUCUUCCUACAACCAAG